GGGCCCGUAGCUCAGCCAGGACAGAGCGCCGGCCUCCGGAGCCGGAGGUCCCGGGUUCAAAUCCCGGCGGGCCCG
rnacentral:tRNA from 1 species